GUUCAGCUAUUGGUGUCGAUCCUUCUACUUGUUGAACUUCAUGAAGUUCAACCUUAGAGGCAACGGUUCCUUCACCAAAGAACACCUUUUGUUCAUCAGCAUGGUAGAAAAAAUAUCCUUUGGUCUCUUUGGGGUACCCUAUGAAUGUGCAUUUGUCAGACCUAGGUCCAAGUUUAUCUGUAACUAACCCUUUGACAUAGGUCGGGCACCCCC
rnacentral:lncRNA from 1 species